UAACUUUAAAGAGAGCGUUAAAGCUUAUAAAACACAAAGCAACACAGACAAUUUUUGUAAAAGAACUUUUUGUUGUAAAAGUUUAUGGGAAAAUUUCAUAAAUUUGAAAGUUAUAAUGUUGAAAUUAGUAGAGAUAAAAGAAGUAUUAUUUGUAAAUUAAUCAAGCCUAACCAUUGGAUGGAACAAAGAUUUAUAAUCAGGAAAUUAGUUUGUAUAGGUUGUCUACUAACACAAGUAAUACAAUAAAUAAGUAAAAUAAGGGAAAGGAACUCGGCAAAUAAAGAUUUNNNNNNNNNNNNNNNNNNNNCGCCCUUUGUAAAGAAUCUUAUAUAUAAAGGGUCCUGCCUGCCCAGUGACUUAGUUAAACGGCCGCGGUAUCUUGACCGUGCAAAGGUAGCAUAAUCAUUUGCCUCUUAAAUGGGGGCUGGAAUGAAUGGCAAGACGGGAAUCAAGCUGUCUCUCUCUUAUAUCUUGAAGUUAAUAUUUUUGUGAAGAAGCAGAAAUAAAAUCGUAGGACGAGAAGACCCUAUCGAGCUUUAAUAGAAAGAAAAGUAGAGAUUUGUAAAUACUGUUUUAUUGCUAAUUAAAUAUUAAAAAUAAUUUAAUAGAUUUUACUAUAAAAACGGAAGAAUUGUUUACUUUAUAUUUAGGUUGGGGCAACCGCGGAGAAUAGAAAUCCUCCGCUAAUUUUAUUGAAAAAAAUAUUUUUUUUCAAUAUAAGAUUUAUAAAAAGUGAUCCACUCAAAAUAGUGAACAAAAGAAUAAGUUACCGUAGGGAUAACAGCGUAAUUUUUUUGGAGAGUUCAUAUUGAUAAAAAAGUUUGCGACCUCGAUGUUGGAUCGGGAUUUCCUAGGGAUGCAGGAGUUCCUGAUGGUUGGUCUGUUCGACCAUUAAAAUCCU
rnacentral:rRNA from 1 species